AGCCAUGCAUGUCUCAGUGCAAGCUAUAUUAAAGUGAAACCGCGAAAGGCUCAUUAAAUCAGUUAUGGUUCCUUGGAUAGUACACAGUUACUUGGAUAACUGUGGUAAUUCUAGAGCUAAUACAUGCAAACAGAGUCCCGACCAUUUAUUUGGAAGGGAUGCUUUUAUUAGAUCAAAACCAAUCAGACCUCACGGUCUGUUGCUCUUGGUGACUCUGAAUAACUUUGGGCUGAUCGCAUGGCCUCGUGCCGGCGACUUAUCUUUCAAAUGUCUGACUUAUCAACUUAAGAUGGUAGGCUCUGCGCCUAUUACGGUUGUAACGGGUAACGGGGAAUCAGGGUUCGAUUCCGGAGAGGGAGCCUGAGAAACGGCUACCACAUCCAAGGAAGGCAGCAGGCGCGCAAAUUACCCACUCCCAGAACGGGGAGGUAGUGACGAAAAAUAACGAUGCAGCACUCAUUCCGAGGCUCUGCAAUCGG
rnacentral:rRNA from 1 species